rnacentral:rRNA from 1 species
CACCAGGCGCGAAAACUUUACAAUGCUGGAAACAGCGAUAAGGGGACCUCGAGUGCCAGGUUACAAAUCUGGCUGUCGUGAUGCCUAAAAAGCAUUGCAUAGCAAGGGCCGGGCAAGACCGGUGCCAGCCGCCGCGGUAACACCGGCGGCUCGAGUGGUAACCGUUAUUAUUGGGUCUAAAGGGUCUGUAGCCGGCCGGAUAAGUCUCUUGGGAAAUCUGGCAGCUUAACUGUCAGGCUUUCAGGAGAUACUGUCUGGCUCGAGGCCGGGAGAGGUGAGAGGUACUUCAGGGGUAGGGGUGAAAUCUUGUAAUCCUUGAAGGACCACCAGUGGCGAAGGCGUCUCACCAGAACGGACCUGACGGCAAGGGACGAAAGCUAGGGGCACGAACCGGAUUAGAUACCCGGGUAGUCCUAGCCGUAAACGAUACUCGCUAGGUGUCGGCCACGGUGCGACCGUUGUCGGUGCCGUAGGGAAGCCGUGAAGCGAGCCACCUGGGAAGUACGGCCGCAAGGCUGAAACUUAAAGGAAUCGGCGGGGGAGCAC